AUGGGCUACCAACUUCACAUUGAGAUCAUGGAUCACGUGUACGUCGUAGGGCGUGAGGUGCUUUUGCUCAAGAAACGAAGAACACAUGUUUGCCAAAACAGCGAGCGCCCUUGCCUCAUGCCUACAAAGUCCGCAGAUACGACCUUCCACGCAUCACACAACAACUCAUCCUCCAUCACCGAGUACCCCGCCAUCGUGCUUACUCUAGAAAACAACGAGAAGUUCAACAAAAAAGCCCUAUGGCAUUUGACUGAACACCUAUCGGGCGUGGUGUCCAUGGAUGGCGGCGGCAGGGAGGCGGAGGGUACCUAG
rnacentral:rRNA from 1 species